AUUUUGCUCUGACUUACUCUCUCUGAGUGUCUCUCUCUCUCCCUGCAGAAUCUAGUUAAAGCUUGAGAACUGUCUGUCCAACAAAUCAACGGCCUACCUAAAACAUCACUAGCAUCUGAUGUGAGAAGACAGGUGUGCAGGGCACUUUCACUACAGUCCAGCUUAACCUCAUGUCACAGGGUGCACGUGGACAGGCCUGGACACAAAUUAGAAAUUACCCAGCAUGGACAGACAUCCAGUUUAAUGGACAGAGCUGUACCAAAUGACAUCAGACAUUCAUUAGAACACAACAAUGGACUGUUCGAUAAUACAUGCAUGGAAUCCAGAAUACAUAUUAUCAAAGAGUCCAGUGUCGUCCCCGUGUCUCUACACAAAGGCCUUAUAUGGCCAAAUAAGCUGACUCAUAAUGCUGUAUCUAGCGAAAGGAGAGAGAGAGAGAGUCAAUCCUGGCUUGGCUGUUUUGACACCAUAUUGGUUUUCCACACAGCAGAGAGCC